UUUCAGUGAUGAUGAAACUUAGCUCACUAUGACCCACUGUGAAAUGGAACGAACAUCUGAGGAAC